UGAGGAUCAGUCUGUCAGUCUAUCCUUCAGACUGCCUGGUCCAUCGGUCGGUCGGUCCGUAGUCCUUCAGCCUGU
rnacentral:miRNA from 1 species